AUAUGGUCGCAAGAUUGAACGCUGGCGACGUAGCCGCGCCAUUCUGCGCCGAGCACGAUGUCGGCGCAGUAAAGCCGAUGUUUCUCGCCGCCAUCGGCCCCAACCUCUCGGACUUCGCCGUUUACCACCCAUGGCCCCGGCGAGUGCUUACCGGCUGUGCUGGUCUGUGCUGCUUUGCUCAUUGGCCAGCCUCGCGGGUAGCAAGCAUGGCAUCGGCCAUUUCG
rnacentral:misc_RNA from 1 species